rnacentral:rRNA from 1 species
AUUGAACGCUGGCGGCAGGCCUAACACAUGCAAGUCGAGCGGAUGAAGGGAGCUUGCUCCUGGAUUCAGCGGCGGACGGGUGAGUAAUGCCUAGGAAUCUGCCUGGUAGUGGGGGAUAACGUCCGGAAACGGGCGCUAAUACCGCAUACGUCCUGAGGGAGAAAGUGGGGGAUCUUCGGACCUCACGCUAUCAGAUGAGCCUAGGUCGGAUUAGCUAGUUGGUGGGGUAAAGGCCUACCAAGGCGACGAUUCGUAACUGGUCUGAGAGGAUGAUCAGUCACACUGGAACUGAGACACGGUCCAGACUCCUACGGGAGGCAGCAGUGGGGAAUAUUGGACAAUGGGCGAAAGCCUGAUCCAGCCAUGCCGCGUGUGUGAAGAAGGUCUUCGGAUUGUAAAGCACUUUAAGUUGGGAGGAAGGGCAGUAAGUUAAUACCUUGCUGUUUUGACGUUACCAACAGAAUAAGCACCGGCUAACUUCGUG